AAAGUACUCCCUCCGUCCCAAAAUUCUUGUCUUAGAUUUGUCUAGAUACAUAUGUAUCAAGUCACAUUUUAGUAUUAGAUACAUCCGUAUCUAGACAAUCUAAGACAAGAAAUUUGGGACAGAGGGAGUGGUUG
rnacentral:pre_miRNA from 1 species